rnacentral:rRNA from 1 species
CAGACGAUGCGUCAUGCAUAUCAAUAAGCGGAGGAAAAGAAACUAACAAGGAUUCCCCUAGUAACGGCGAGUGAAGCGGGAAGAGCUCAAAUUUGAAAUCUUAAAGGGUUUCCCUUUACGAAUUGUAGUUUAAAGAAGUGUUUUCUGUUGAGGUUUUGGUAAAAGUUCUUUGGAAUAGGACAUCAUAGAGGGUGAGAAUCCCGUAUUUGACCUUUACUUUCAACUUUGUGAUACACUUUCAAAGAGUCGGAUUGUUUGGGAAUGCAGUCCAAAAUGGGUGGUAAAUUUCAUCUAAAGCUAAAUAUUGGCGAGAGACCGAUAGCGAACAAGUACCGUGAGGGAAAGAUGAAAAGGACUUUGAAAAGAGAGUUAAACAGUACGUGAAAUUGUCAAAAGGGAAGCGUUUGACACCAGUGUUGUUUUUCUGAAAAUCAAUUAAAGAACUGUUUAUGCUAAGCUGUUUAGACUUUAUCAGCUAACUGUUUAGUUUUGAGCUUUUCUUUAAUGCACUUUUUCAGUUAACAAGUCAACAUCAAUUUCUUUUGCUGUAAAAAAGCUUGAGGAAGGUGGCUUGAGAUUCGUCUUAAGUGUUUAUAGCCUCUUGCCUAUGCAGUCCGGAGAGAUUGAGGUCUGCAGCGUAGAUCCUUCGGGGCUAAAUGCAUUUGUGCUAAGUUAUAACAUUUUAUAGACAAUUUGUUGACUAUGAUUUGUCUUGUAGCUUACUCGCUUAUGUUAUUUUACCUACGCUUAGGAUGUUGAAUCUGUGCGAGACUAC